GACGAACGCUGGCGGCGUGCUUAACACAUGCAAGUCGAACGACGAAGCUGGAGCUUGCUCCGGUGGAUUAGUGGCGAACGGGUGAGUAACACGUGAGCAAUCUGCCCUUGACUCUGGGAUAACUGCGGGAAACUGUAGCUAAUACCGGAUAUGAGGCUCGAAGGCAUCUUCGGGUCUGGAAAGAAUUUCGGUCAAGGAUGAGCUCGCGGCCUAUCAGCUUGUUGGUGAGGUAAUGGCUCACCAAGGCGACGACGGGUAGCCGGCCUGAGAGGGUGACCGGCCACACUGGGACUGAGACACGGCCCAGACUCCUACGGGAGGCAGCAGUGGGGAAUAUUGCACAAUGGGCGAAAGUCUGAUGCAGCAACGCCGCGUGAGGGAUGAAGGCCUUCGGGUUGUAAACCUCUUUUAGCAGGGAAGAAGCGAAAGUGACGGUACCUGCAGAAAAAGCACCGGCUAACUACGUGCCAGCCGCCGCCGUAA
rnacentral:rRNA from 1 species